rnacentral:tRNA from 1 species
GAUCCCGUGGUCCAACGGUAUGACACCAACCCCACAUGCUGGCGACGAUGGUUCGACUCCAUCCGGGAUCA